rnacentral:rRNA from 1 species
UACGUAGGGGGCAAGCGUUGUCCGGAAUCAUUGGGCGUAAAGCGCGUGUAGGCGGCUCGGUAAGUCCGCUCUGAAAGUCCAGGGCUCAACCCUGGGAUGCGGGUGGAUACUGCCGGGCUCGAGUCCGGAAGAGGCGAGUGGAAUUCCCGGUGUAGCGGUGAAAUGCGCAGAUAUCAGGAAGAACACCCGUGGCGAAAGCGGCUCUCUGGAACGGUACUGACGCUGAGACGCGAAAGCGUGGGGAGCGAACAGG